rnacentral:rRNA from 1 species
UGGGGAAUUUUGCACAAUGGGGGAAACCCUGAUGCAGCGACGCCGCGUGAUUUAGAAGGCCUUCGGGUUGUAAAAAUCUUUUCUAUGGGAAGAAAAUGACAGUACCAUAGGAAUAAGGACCGGCUAAUUACGUGCCAGCAGCCGCGGUAAUACGUAAGGUCCGAGCGUUGUCCGGAAUCAUUGGGCGUAAAGGGUACGUAGGCGGGUAAGCAAGUUAGAAGUGAAAUCCUAUAGCUCAACUAUAGUAAGCUUUUAAAACUGCUCAUCUUGAGGUAUGGAAGGGAAAGGGGAAUUCCUAGUGUAGAGGUGAAAUGCGCAGAUAUUAGGAGGAAUACCGGUGGCGAAGGCGACUUUCUGGCCAUAACCUGACGCUGAGGUACGAAAGCGUGGGUAGCAAACAGG